GUCGCUCACGAGGUCGCGCCUCGCACCCGCCUUCCUCCUUUUCUUUUACCCUCCCCUUCAGAAAAAACGGCGGUUGGGCUGCGACGGCCGCCAAAGGCGGACUAGAAGCGGAGGGGUGAAAAUCCCGGCAGAGAAGGAAGAAGGGACUGCAGGCGGGAGGAGGAGGAGGAUAAGGAGGAAGGGAGCCCGCCCAGCCGGAGCCAUCUCCGUCGAGAACAAAAUGGCGGCGCUGGCGGAGGGCCAACUAUAAGGCGGGGCCGCGGCCAUUCCCCCUCCACCCCCACCCUUGCGCCGGCCGGGCCGGUCAGGGGGAACCCGCUCGCUUCGCCCGGCCGCGGGCGGGGAGGGGAGGGGAGCGGCCCGGCCCACUAUGCAAAGCGCCGGGCGCCGCCGCCGCCACCCCGUGGCAAAGAAUAUGCUUUUUGUCUAAUGAUGUUAGAUAAAAAGCAAAUUUGGAGCAGUUUUCUUAUUCGAGUUCAAAAUGGUUCAUAAAGCAGCGAAGACAACUCAAAACAUCAGUAACACAUUUGGCCCAGGAACUGCUAACAAACAUACAGUGCAGUGGUGGCUUAAGAAGUUUUGCAAGGAAGAGAGCCUUGAAGAUGAGGAACGUGAUAUGGGCCAUGGGAAGUUGACAACGACCAAUUGAGAGCAAUCAUUGAACUACAUGAAAAAUUACAGAAGAACUCAGCGUUGACUAUUCUACGGUCAUUAGGGUCGUUCAGCAUUCGAAGCAAAUUGGAAAGGUGAAAAAGCUUGAUAAGUGGGUGCCUCAUGAGCUGAGCGGAAAUCAAAACUAUCGUUUUGAAGUGUAGUCUUCUUUUAUGCUACGCAACAACAAACCAUUUCUCAAUCGGAUUGUGACAUGUAAUGAAAAGUGAAUUUUAUACAACAACCAGCUCAGUGGUUGGACCAAGAGGCAGCUCCAAAGCAGUUCCCAAAGCCAAACUUGCACCAAAAAAAAGGUCAUGGUCACUGUUCGGUGGUCUGCUGCCCAUCUGAUCCACUACAGUUUUCUGAAUCCUGGUGAAACCAUUACAUCUGAGAAGUAUGCUCAGCAAAUUGGUAAGAUGCACCGAAAACUGCAAUACCUGCUGCCUGCAUUGGUCAACAGAAAGGGCCCAAUUCUUCUCCACGACAACACCUGACUGCGUGUCGCACAACCAGUGCUUCAAAAGUUGAAGGAAUUGGGCUACAAAGUUUUGCCUCAUCCACCAUAUUCACCUGACCUUUCGCCAACUGACUACCACUUCUGCUAGCAUCUUGACAACUUUUUGCAGGGAAAACACUUCAGCAUGGUGCAGAAAAUGCUUUCCAAGAGUUCGUCAAAUCCUGAAGCACGGAUUUUUAUGCUACAGGAAUAAACAAACAUUUCUCAUUGGCAAAAAUGUGUUGAUUGUAAUGGUUCCUGUUUUGAUUAAUAGAAUAUGUUUUAGCGUAGUUACAAUGAUUUAAAAUUCGCAGUCUGGAAAUUUAAUUUUUGCAUCAACCUAAUAUUUCUAUGGUAAAUCCUUGCAAACAUGGAAACAAUGCAUUUGGCCCAGUGCUUUGUGGUUGUGUACUCUUUUUCUUUGUUUUUUUAAUAGAUGGCAUUGGCCGGGCAUGGUGGCUCAUGCCUGUAAUCCCAGCAUUUUGGGAAGGUGAGGUGGGUGGAUCACCUGAGGUCAGGAGUUCAAGACCAGCCUGACUAACAUGGUAAAACCCCAUCUCUACUAAAAAUACAAAAAAAUUAGCUAGGCGGGGUGGCGGGCAUCUAAUUCCAGCUACUUCAUGAGGCUGCGACAGGAGAAUCAUUUGAACUCGGGAGGCAGAGGUUGCAGUGAGCCGAGAUCACACCAUUGCACUCCAGCCUGGGCGAUGAGCGAAACUGUCUC
rnacentral:lncRNA from 1 species